ensembl:lncRNA
CGUUUCCACUUAGCGGAGGACUGGGGGGGAUCCAGACACUGACAACGGGAAAGGGAGAAUGUAGAAACAAAUGGAAAGAGAGAAGAAGAUGAAAAAAUCGGUGCUUUCUGCUGUCUUUGAAAUAAAACACGUGGUUUUCAAAAUGGUGACCUUUUCCAAACGGCCUUCAGAAAAGUGGGUCAUUUUGUUCCUCAGAAGCCGUGCUUGACAAGUGUGACUGGAGAAAGUGCCAUGGAGGACAGCCAUGGCUUUGGGGACAGGUCCAGCAGCGCUCCCCACGUGUCCAUCACAUCCAUCUCCAGCUGCCAAGAAGGCUUUCUUCAGGCUUCCUUUAUGCAUGCCUCUCCUCCAGAGCUCAGUGUGGAAAUGGGAAAGCCCAGAAAUGCUGUGUGCAUUGAGAAAGCACCAGAAGGAACAGCUCACAUUCCUUUCCCAGCCUAGAAGUUCCCAACCCUCAGGGACUCAACGUAACCAAGUCCUGGAGCCACUUCUGCAGAACACAUAUUCUUGGGAGCUGGGAGAAGACGCUUCCCUGAGCCACAGUUUGAAGGUGUCCCUGGGGACAAUUUCUGCUGUUCACAGGUUACCAACGAUCGGCAGAGCAGGAGUAAUUCAUCUGUGUGGGGAACCUGCGUUUGACCUGCUGAGUAGUAAGAAAAUACCUACAUCAAAAACCUUUUAUUUUUUUCAGGAUAAAAUUCAGAGUUGAAGCCCCCCUCCCCACUCUGCAGAACUUUGAUGAACAAAUGCAAAAUCUGAGGAAAAGAGAGUCAUUUGUUUAUAAAAUGUUGAUUAAAUCCCAUUAUUCUGGCUGUACUACUAACAUUAAUACCAGGUCUGUUGGUCAUAACUCUUUCUCAAAUUGCACAUAAUGGGCAGUCAAGAUCAAGAUCAGUUGCCCCUGAGCCAAGCAGACCAGGAGACCACCAGGACUACUUCUUCCAUGACUGCCCCUAUUGAUGGGAUUGUUGCAGAAGGGGUAUCAUGAGG